rnacentral:rRNA from 1 species
AGAGUUUGAUCAUGGCUCAGGACGAACGCUGGCGGCGUGCCUAAUACAUGCAAGUCGAGCGAAUCUUUGGGAGCUUGCUCCUAAAGGUUAGCGGCGGACGGGUGAGUAACACGUGGGUAACCUGCCUGUAAGAUUGGGAUAACUUCGGGGAAACCGGAGCUAAUACCGGAUAAUUCUUUUUCUCACAUGAGGAAAAGCUG